CUGUUACCUAGUUCGGUGACAGACGAGCACAAACAAUAAACACAACCAAUUGUUUGGAGCGAGCUGCGAGUCGCCAGCUGAGCAGCGCCCCGCAGCACUAUAAAAAAGGUUUGUAUAAAGGCUUUAAGCCGCCCUAUAUGUUAUUGUAGGUCCAGUUCAAUAUCCAAUUAAGUUUUAUACAAUAAAUCUAAGGGGUCCUUGGCCUAAAAAACAUUAAAGACCCCUGGCUUAAAGCAUAUACAGCGCCAAGAAGUAGUGCAUGAACUCCUUGGAUUUCCCGCAUGUUUGCAUAAUAUACACACAAAAUGUGGUCCUAUAUUCUUCAAAGUCACAAUAAUGGACAAGCUACAUCUGUCUGAAAUAGCAACACAAAGACAAUUGCAUGUUUUGGUGUAGCCUAUUGAAAUAUUUGCUUAAACAU